GCUACCAGAAUCCAUUCCUUUCUUAGCAGAGUUGAUGGAAGAUGAAUGUGAAGAAGUAGAACAUCAGUGCCAAAAGACUAUUCAGCAACUGGAAACUGUCCUGGGAGAGCCACUCCAGAGCUAUUUCUAAGACUUUCUGUGGUGUUUCAUACUCUACUCAGAGUUCACACUCAUAUUUCAUAUUUUUAUUUUUGGGUGUUGGGUGCCAUGUUACUUUUGGUGCCUUAAUACACCUACUUGGAUUACUUACAAAUGUUUUAUCACUUCUUUACAAAAUCCCCACCUGGCUUGUGCUGCCACAUAAGCCUCUCCUGCCUAUCGUAUAGAGCUGCAGAAAGAGUAAAUGAUACACGGUAUUUUUAUACAGACUGCUGUGUUUGUUUAAACAUUUAUUAUUCUCUUCCUGAUUGAUGGUAAUAAUAUUAGACUUGUUAAUUUUAGCACCCAAAGCUGACGCCUCAUUUGCACUGUAAGCCUUAACUCUUCUGUACAGCAGUAUCUUACAUACAUGGUAUCCAUGUUGCAGAUUUCACUCAAAGUUGCUCUAUUUCAAGAAAAUGAAGUUAUUUAGCAAUCAACAGAAGUACUUUUGACUGUAAAGCCUACUUUUCAUUUUGGGUAGGCGAACUUCAGCCUUCGUUUCUUUGUUGUGCCCAUAAAGAGAAGUGGUUCUG
rnacentral:lncRNA from 10 species